rnacentral:rRNA from 1 species
UGCUAGUCGUACGAGUUUGUACUCGUGGCAUAUAGCUCAGUAACACGUGGCCAAACUACCCUAUGGACAGAGAUACUCUCGGGAAACUGAGGCUAAUCUCUGAUACAGCUUCCACGCUGGAAUUGCAGGAAGCUAGAAACGCUCCGGCGCCAUAGGAUGUGGCUGCGGCCGAUUAGGUAGACGGUGGGGUAACGGCCCACCGUGCCAGUAAUCGGUACGGGUGAUGAGAGUCAGAGCCCGGAGACGGUAUCUGAGACAAGAUACCGGGCCCUACGGGGCGCAGCAGGCGCGAAACCUUUACACUGCACGACAGUGCGAUAGGGGGACUCCGAGUGCGAGGGCAUAUAGUCCUCGCUUUUCUGUACCGUAAGGUGGUACAGGAACAAGUGCUGGGCAAGACCGGUGCCAGCCGCCGCGGUAAUACCGGCAGCACGAGUGAUGGCCGAUAUUAUUGGGCCUAAAGCGUUCGUAGCCGGCCGGACAAGUUCGUUGGGAAAUCCACGCGCUCAACGCGUGGGCGUCCAGCGAAAACUGUUCGGCUUGGGGCCGGAAGACUCGAGGGGUACGUCCGGGGUAGGAGUGAAAUCCCGUAAUCCUGGACGGACCGCCGGUGGCGAAAGCGCCUCGAGAGGACGGACCCGACGGUGAGGGACGAAAGCCAGGGUCUCGAACCGGAUUAGAUACCCGGGUAGUCCUGG